GGGAAUGCAAGCUGGUGCAGCCACUCUGGAAAACAGCAUGGAGGUUCCUCAAAAAGUUGAAAAUAGAACUACCUUAUGACACAGCAAUUGUACUAGUAGGUAUUUUUCCAUAGGAUA